rnacentral:rRNA from 1 species
GUGGAAGGGCCGUGGCUUACCGGACAAAAGCUACCCCGGGGAUAACAGGCUGGUGAAGUCCAAGAGUUCACAUCGACGACUUCGCUCGGCACCUCGAUGUCGGCUCAUCGCAUCCUGGGGCUGUACAAGGUCCCAAGGGUCGGGCUGUUCGCCCGUUAAAGCGGUACGCGAGCUGGGUUCAGACCGUCGUGAGACAGGUCGGUCUCUAUCCGCUGUGGGCGUAAGGGACUUGAGGAGAGCUGCCCCUAGUACGAGAGGACCGGGGUGGACAGACCUCUGGUGUUCCAGUUGUCGUGCCAACGGCAUUGCUGGGUAGCCAACGUCUGGCAGAGAUAACCGCUGAAAGCAUCUAAGUGGGAAACUCGCUUCAAGAUUAGGUCCCUGUUUUCCCGUAAAGGGAGUAAGACCGCAGGAAGACUACCUGCUUAAUAGGCAGCAUGUGUAAGCGCAGUAAUGCGUUCAGCUAAGCUGUACUAAUGGUCGAGGGCUUCUCAUG